UGGCAUCUUUAGCUAUGUCUAAUUGUCACAAAACUUACCACAUAUUUUGUUGGAGCUCUAUUUUUUAUUUUAAAUGUUUUAAAAUCAUUUAAUAUAACGUUAAAGGACUCAUAUAACUUAUUUAUAACAAUGACUCUACAGAUUUGUAGUUACCAAGGUUGUUACCAACAACGUUUUCCUUGUAGUUCAAUUACGUUCUUCCAAUUGCCAACCGAUGAGCCAAGACGUACACAGUGGAUACUAAAUAGUGGAAAUAAACAACUGCUGGAGCUUAAGAACAACCAAAAGCGGUUUUUCUGUGAAAUACAUUUUCGGAAGAAAGACAUUAAACCACAUUUUUAUAGAAAACUUUUGUAUAGAAACGCAGUCCCUUUGCCAUAUGAGAGUAACGAAUCUGCUACACCAACUACAAAUACAAACACCAUACAAUAUACGGAGUUCGAAGUAGUAAGAGAUGACCAAGAUGAAGAUAAAGCAACAGACGUUGACAAUUUGUAUCAGGAUUUUGAAAUGAAUGAAGGAGAAUACGAACCCGUGGAUGAAGCUGUGCAGUCUAUGUCUACAAAUGAUUGUAUUUUGUGUGAUGCUGGCAACGAAGAUAGCAUACAAGAAAGCAAACUAUUGACUGAAGAAUUACUGGAUAUACCAGAAACUAUAACUCAACAUGCUGAAAUUAUACCUAUAAAACAAGAAUCUGAGUCCAAUCCUGUUAAUGAUUAUAUUGAUACAUCGAACAUUGUUGAUACACCGUCAACUUCCAGCAUUUUGCCGGCUACUUCCUACACUUCAAAUGCAAGUCACAGCUUAGAAACGCAUAAUGAUUACACUGCAACUGAAAGUGAAAGUGAAACUGCUGCUGUAGCAACAGCGGAUUCAGUGUUAAAUAGUGCUAAAGAAAUUGCCAACGAUUUAAAUGAGACUACAGCGUGUGAUAAAUCCUACGAAUCUGAUAAACAUUUUGCGCUCUCGCUUGUUUAUUACUUUCAACGUUUAAAUACUAAAAAGAAAGCGCAAGCAAAAAUUGACAUACUAACAUAUUUAGUAGCGCUCGAGCAGGACAUAGAUGCGUAACUUGAUGUGUACAUAAGUACAUAAGCUUUCUAGUUGCCUAUUGUAGUAUAAGAUUGUGCAGGUGGUGGGAUUUUGUCGAACACAACAUGAAAGUGAUUUUUAUGCUUAACAUUAUUAACUGUAGUCUGAAGUCAACGCUUCUUUCGUACAACACGCGUAUUUCAACGCUUUAAAGCUGGUACUAUGUGGUUCAUACGCCAAAAAGUAUGCAACAGCCUAUCACAAUCAAAUCUCAAAUCCCAUUAUGGAAUCUUUUUACGCAUUACACCAGUUUUUACGAACCAACAGCAUCAAAUCAAAUCUGUUAAGAUAUUUAGAAAUUCUUCUAAUUACCCCAGUCAAAUAAUUAUAUGUGCAUUUCGGCUUUUGUUUAUAUUUCUUAUUCAAUGUUAUUUUUUGGAUUUCGGUAAAUGUGGAAUAAAAGGUUGAUAGGUUACCGUUACUAUGCAACGAAAAUUGUUUCAUACUUUUCUCGUUCGUUGUACAGUUACAUUAACAAUGUGCUUGUGAAUUGGGUAUUGCAUAGAAAAUAUUUAUAUGUGCAAAAUCAGUUUAGCGGAUCUUCCUUACUGAUAGUGUCGCAGCAAAAACUUUUUUUGCUGAAAUUUGUUUUCAAAAUUAUUAUAGGUGCAUUAACUGAAUGAAUUAUUAAAAAUUUGAAUACCUUUAUUUAACUUUAAGCCUAAAAUGCCUCGUGGUACUAGUUUAUCAGCCAAGGAACAAGUAAUAAUCAUAGGAAUGCAUGAAAGCGGUUCCAAAAUGGUUCUAGACCAAAGCGACAUCGGAACUGUAUCUCAAAAUUUCUUAAAAACCCCACUAAUUAUGGCACCUAAGCCAACGCUAAAGAAAGACACAAUAAAGCACAUUUGAGGUUUGCAAAUAAAUACCAAUUCUGUGCCGAUGAGUGAUAGAAUACAGUCUUUAAUGACGAAAAAAAAUUAAAUUUGGUCCGCCCAGGUCAUUGCAAGAAAUAUUGGAGAGAUUCGCACCAGGAACGACGGUCCUACCACAAGCGAUGUUUUGGAAGCGGUACCUUGAUUUUAUGGGCUUCAUUUUGCUGCUGUGGAAAGCUAUCUACAUGUUUUAUAUUCACUCAAAUGAAUGCAAAUAUCAAUGUAGAUGUUUUGGACAGCGAUUUAAUAAAAUUUGUUGGAAAUAUUUAUGGCAUAUAACUGGACAUAUCGAAAGGAUAACGCUUCAAUCCACACGAAGAACAACUUUAACGACCGGAAAAUUCCGGUAUUACAAUGUGCAGCAUUGAGUUCGAACCUAAAUCUUAUUGAGGAUCUCUGGGGGAACCUCUCUGCUCCUGUUUUCCAAAACGGAAAGCAGUUUGAGACAGUACGUCACCUUAAAUUAGCCAUAAAGCAAGAAUUUGCCAAUAUUUACAUAACUAUUCUACAGUCAGUAGUUAAUUCUCUGAUUAAGCGGCUUAAUUUAGUUUUAAAAUAUAAUGACAAUUCUACUUACUAUUAAAAUAAACAUUUCUUUCAGUUAAACUCAAAUGUAUAGGCUUUACUGGUAAAAAUAGUAAAAUGCACAUAUAAAUAUUUACCAUUAGCCUAAACUUCAAUUUUGUUUUAUAGUUUAAAAAAUAUUUUGAAAUUUGUUAAUUUUUUGUUUUUUAUAUCGUAUACAUUAAUAAUAACAAACCUGCAUACUCAGAAAUAUUUUGCAAUUUUAUAUUCUUUAAUUUUUUUUUUGCAAAAAGUUCAUGCACAUAUAAUUAUUUGACUGAGGUACUUGGCAAUACACAAAUCUGCUCAGAUUUCAGAUAUGGAUUAGAUCUUAGGACCACAAUGAACGCGUAGUUAUGUUCUGUUGAGUAUUUCGGGAUUUGUUUUGAGAUUUCGAUAUUACAACAACAAAACAAUAUUAAGCUUUACUGUAAAAGUUGGAGGCAAGUUAAUCGUAAUUCUUCUGCAUUCCAAUCAAAUAUUUACCUCAUUUCUGAAAAAAAAUGUCGAGCUUUCUAAGCGUAUUUCUAUUAAUAUUUACAGUUGGUCCCAUACAAUAUUAUCACUUUAUCAACCAUCUUAACAUAUACAUAUACGUAAAUAUUUAAGCUCCUUUUUUUUCUAUUUUUCCAAAUUUUCACAUACAAUUUUAUUGAAAAAUUCUAUUGAUGAAGUUUUAAAUGUUGAUUUUGAAAAAAAUAGCGUAAACAAAAGGUGGAAAUGUUGGCGGAAUUUCUG